GAGCUCAGUUGGUAGAGCAUGAGGUAAUUGAUCUUAGGGUUGUGAGUUCAAGCCCCAUGUUGGGCA